rnacentral:rRNA from 1 species
GGCCUAACACAUGCAAGUCGAGCGGAAACGACUUAACUGAACCUUCGGGGAACGUUAAGGGCGUCRAGCGGCGGACGGGUGAGUAAUGCCUGGGAAAUUGCCCUGAUGUGGGGGAUAACCAUUGGAAACGAUGGCUAAUACCGCAUAAUAGCUUCGGCUCAAAGAGGGGGACCUUCGGGCCUCUCGCGUCAGGAUAUGCCCAGGUGGGAUUAGCUAGUUGGUGAGGUAAGGGCUCACCAAGGCAACGAUCCCUAGCUGGUCUGAGAGGAUGAUCAGCCACACUGGAACUGAGACACGGUCCAGACUCCUACGGGAGGCAGCAGUGGGGAAUAUUGCACAAUGGGCGCAAGCCUGAUGCAGCCAUGCCGCGUGUAUGAAGAAGGCCUUCGGGUUGUAAAGUACUUUCAGCAAGUGAGGAAGGUUCAUGCGUUAAUAGCGUAUGGAUUUGACCGUUAGCUGCAGAAGAAGCACCGGCUAACUCCGUGCCAGCAGCCCGCGGUAAUACGGAGGGUGCGAGCGUUAAUCGGAAUUACUGGGCGUAAAGCGCAUGCAGGUGGUUUGUUAAGUCAGAUGUGAAAAGCCCG